UACGAAGGGGGCUAGCGUUGCUCGGAAUCACUGGGCGUAAAGCGCACGUAGGCGGAUUGCUAAGUCAGGGGUGAAAUCCUGGAGCUCAACUCCAGAACUGCCUUUGAUACUGGUGAUCUCGAGUCCGGGAGAGGUGAGUGGAACUGCGAGUGUAGAGGUGAAAUUCGUAGAUAUUCGCAAGAACACCAGUGGCGAAGGCGGCUCACUGGCCCGAUACUGACGCUGAGGCACGAAAGCGUGGGGAGCAAACAGG
rnacentral:rRNA from 1 species